AUUGAACGCUGGCGGCAUGCCUUACACAUGCAAGUCGAACGGCAGCACGGGGGGUAACCCCUGGUGGCGAGUGGCGUACGGGUGAGUAAUAUAUCGGAACGUGUCCUGUAGCGGGGGAUAACCUAUCGAAAGAUGGACUAAUACCGCAUACGACCUACGGGUGAAAGCGGAGGACCGCAAGGCUUCGCACUAUAGGAGCGGCCGAUAUCGGAUUAGCUAGUUGGCGGGGUAACGGCCCACCAAGGCGACGAUCCGUAGCUGGUCUGAGAGGACGAUCAGCCACACUGGAACUGAGACACGGUCCAGACUCCUACGGGAGGCAGCAGUGGGGAAUUUUGGACAAUGGGCGCAAGCCUGAUCCAGCCAUGCCGCGUGAGUGAAGAAGGCCUUCGGGUUGUAAAGCUCUUUCGGCGGGGACGAAACGGUUCGUGCUAAUACCACGGACUACUGACGGUACCCGCAGAAGAAGCACCGGCUAACUACGUG
rnacentral:rRNA from 1 species